rnacentral:rRNA from 1 species
CGAGUUUGAUCAUGGCUCAGAGCGAACGCUGGCGGCAGGCUUAACACAUGCAAGUCGAACGCCCCGCAAGGGGAGUGGCAGACGGGUGAGUAACACGUGGGAACGUACCUUUUGGUUCGGAACAACACAGGGAAACUUGUGCUAAUACCGGAUAAGCCCUUACGGGGAAAGAUUUAUCGCCGAAAGAUCGGCCCGCGUCUGAUUAGCUAGUUGGUGAGGUAAAGGCUCACCAAGGCGACGAUCAGUAGCUGGUCCGAGAGGAUGAUCAGCCACACUGGGACUGAGACACGGCCCAGACUCCUACGGGAGGCAGCAGUGGGGAAUAUUGGACAAUGGGCGCAAGCCUGAUCCAGCCAUGCCGCGUGAGUGAUGAAGGCCCUAGGGUUGUAAAGCUCUUUUGUGCGGGAAGAUAAUGACGGUACCGCAAGAAUAAGCCCCGGCUAACUUCGUG